AUUGGACAAUGGGGGCAACCCUGAUCCAGCCAUGCCGCGUGUGUGAAGAAGGUCUUCGGAUUGUAUAGCACUUUAAGUUGGGAGGAAGGGCUUUAGGUUAAUACCCUGAUGUUUUGACGUCACCACCAGAACAAGCACCGUCUAACUAUGCGCAAGCAGCCGCGGAAAUACAGAGGGUGCACGCGUUAAUCGGAAUUACUGGGCGUAAAGCGUGCGUAGAUGGUUCAGUAAGAUGGGUGUGAAAUCCCCGGGCUUAACCUGGGAACUGCUUUCAUAACUGCUGAGCUAGAGUACGGUAGAGGGUAGUGGAAUUUCCUGUGUAGCGGUGAAAUGCGUAGAUAUAGGAAGGAACACCAGUGGCGAAGGCGACUACCUGGACUGAUACUGACACUGAGGUGCGAAAGCGUGGGGAGCAAACA
rnacentral:rRNA from 1 species